CGCGGGGGCGGGAGCUCAGCCCGCCCGUCACCCGACCCCCGGCCUCGACCCCCGGCCCGCGGCUCGCCCGCCCCGGCUCUAACGCCCCGCCGCCCCGGCCAACCCAGCCGACGCCGUCCCGCCGGCCCAGACGCUGGCUUCGCUACGGCUCCGGCUCCAGCUAGCUCGCCGCUUCCGCCUUCUCCAGCCCCGCCCCGGCCGCGGCCCCGCCCCCGCGCUCGCACCGGGCCAAGCCCCCCUCUCACGGCCCCGAGCUUCGGGGCACUCCCGACGCUUUACGCUGAAGCAACUGUAGGGCCCUGCAGCGCGGCCCCGCCCACGCAGCAGGUUCCCAGCCGCUGCGGCCUGGCGGCCUCCCUACACACCAGCCCAGGAAGAGGCGGUGCCAAAGGGCCGCCAGUUUCCGCCCAUCCAGAAAGCGCGCUGAUUGACAGGCGAUCUGAACAAUAACGGCAAGUGCUUGGUCGAGGCUCCCGUGAGUCUCUGUGCCCCUGUGCUAAACAACCAGUCAAGAUCUUCUUCCUUUUGGGCGGGCUCGAGGACUGAAUUUGCUGGCAAAAGAAAGAGUUCAUUGGACCGCACUGGAGGAAGUCGCCCUGAACGCCACUUCUGGAGGUGUUUUGAUCCCGUGUGGUCUUUGUGGGUACUUUCUGGGUUUUGCCCACACUACAGAUGGAGAGAGCGGUUGUGUUAGCCAAUAGGCUCACACCCUGUCUGGAGGCUGGAAGGCCCAUUGGGUAGAAAGUCUUGAUUGACGUGAGUGCAAGCCAAUCAACACUCCCGAGGAAGGGCUCCGGAAAGUUCCCUCAACUGCUAAUUCCCCAGGAUGCACAGGACCUCAGCAUGGCUGAAGGCAUGUGCUGACCAGAAAAGGGCUGACAGCUGGGGACUGUGCUGACCACACUCCCUGCCUUGGAACAAAAAGCAUGGACAAAUGAAAUACUCAAAAUAAGUUGCCUUACAUAAAGCGCUAACCACAGAAGUAAAUACGGGGACUUCCCUAGUGGUCCAGUGGUUAAGAAUCCGCCUUCCAAUGCAGGGGACGCAGGUUCAAUCCCUGGUCGGGGAACUAACAGCCCACAUGCCAUGGGGCAACUAAGCCCACGUGCUGUAAUUACUGAGCCCGUGCGCUCUGGAGCCCAUGCGCUGCAACAAAGAUCCCAUGUGCCACAACUAAGACCCUCCGCAGCCUAAUUAAUUAAUUAAUUAAAAAGAAAAAGUAGGGGCUUCCCUGGUGGUGCAGUGGUUAAGAAUCCGCCUACCAAUGCAGGGGACACGGAUUCGAGCCCUGGUCCAGGAAGAUCCCACAUGCUGCGGAGCAACUGAGCCCGUGCGCCACAACUACUGAGCUUGUGCUCUAGAGCCCACGAGGCACAACUACUGGCCCCUCGUGCCACAACUACUGAAGCCCGUGCGCCAGAACUACUGAAGCCUGCGCGCUUAGAGCUUGUGCUCUGCAACAAGAGAAGAGAAGCAAUUCGCUUGCUGCAACUAGAGAAAGCCCGUGCGCAGGAACAAAGACCCAAUGCAGCCAAAAAUAAAAAAUAAAUUAAUUGAUUAAAAAGAAAAAGUAAAUAGGGCUACGGAACUGCAAGUAAAAUAAAUUCAUUUGGUAAAGUAAACAGAACUUUUAUCCGAAUGAUAGGUAAUGAAAGACUAGAACCACCCUUUGUUCUUACUCAUCCCCUUACUUGGAGUGCUUGUCUCCUCUUCUUGAGCAUAGCUACUGCCUUAGUUUUGUGUGGUCAUGUGACUGAGUUCUGCCCAGUGGAAUAUGGGCAGGAGUGACCUGAGUUACUUCCAGCCUUGGCCAUUUCAAAACUCUCAAGAGAUUCUUUGCAUUCUCCUGUUUAGGGUAACAUAUUCUGGUUUCCUUUAACAUCCAGACCUGAUGGAAAGAAUUUCACAUCACUGGAGAUCUGGACUUUGAGUGGGGUGUAUUGACUGGGACUUGGGGUUACAUCCCUUGCAGAAAGAGUUGACUAUGUUCUAUAUACAGGAUAAAGGUAUACACAGACACUUGGUCACGUGAAAGGUGGAUUGUAACAGAUUGGCUAUGUUAUUAAACCAAUUUCCUUUUGUUUAGGCACAUAAAGUCCAGUUCCCAGUCUCUCUUGGAAUGCUAGAGGUGGCCUUGUAAUUACCUAAGUUCUAGCCAAUGGCACACAGGUGGAGGUAUCUUUUGCCUCCUCCAUGCUCAGUCAUUUAAAUUCUCCUUUGUGAUCAUCUAUGCUCUUUCUUCCUGUAUCAUCAAGUCAGAUUCAAAGUAUUCAGCAGAGGACUGUGAGGGCUAGGGGAUGGUGGAGGCACUCACUGGGCCACAGGAGCUAGAUCCCUAAAUGUUUCUGUGCCGCAGAGCCCCUAGACAACGUGCAGUACAUGGUACCAUAAGUGAAAUAAAUGUUUGUUUUAUAAAGCCAUUGUAAUUUUGGAGAUGUCUGCUAAAGCAGAUAACUUGUCUGUACAACCACAGGUCUAGCUCCCUGUAUUAGUUUCCUAUUGCACUGUAACAAAUUACUGGGUGGAUUAAAACAACACAGAUUUAUUAUCUCACAGCUCUGGAGGUCAGAAAUCUGAAAUCAGUAUCACUGGACUAAAGUUAAGGUGUUGGCAGGGCUGUGUUUCUUCUGGAUGUUCUAGGGGAGAGUCUGAUGCCUUGCCUUUUCCAGCUUCUGGAGGCUGCCUGUAUUCCUUGGCUCCUCCUCACUCCAACCACUGGCCAUCACAUCUCUUCGCUUACUCUGACUCUCCUUCCUUCUUUCACUUAUAAUGAUUACAUUGGGCCCACCUGGAUAAUCCAGGAUACUCUCUCCAUUUCAAGAUCUUUAAGUUAAUCACAUCUGCAAAGUCCCUUUUGUCAUGUAAAGUAACAUAUUCACAGUUUCCCAGAACUAGGAUAUGGACAUCUUGGGAGCCAUUAUUCUGCUACUGAUGAAAUAAAUUAUUUUAAGAUGGGACAAGAAAUUUUAAACAUAAAACUCCCUCUCUGCCCAUUUGAGCCACUACCCUCUCCCCUUUAGUGUGCAUUGUGCAUCUGCAUUACACAUUAACUAGAUCCCCUUAAAAAACACAGAAAUGCCACCAAAAAAAAGCUAUUUCCUUCUGGUGCCAGCAAGGUAACUCCUUAGGAGACAACAUUCCUUUCUCAAUCCUGUAAAGGCUAACAAUAACCCACUAUUAGUCUUGUUGGACUAUGUAAACUGUCAGUAUGUUAUUUGAUGUACAACCUUUUGUCUCAAAAACUUAUAUAACUGUGCUUUGACCUCUAGUGGGUGGAACAGUCCUCAGAACUUUCUGAAAGUCUGUCUCCUGGGUUAUAAUCCUCAGGUUGGCUCGAAUUAAACUUUCCACUUCCUUCUUAGAGUGGCUCUUCAUCGAUUUUUACACUGACACUUCCAUACUUCACUUCCUUCAUUUCUUUGCUCAGUAUUCUGCUCUGUUAGGUCUUCACUGCCCGUCUUUGUAAGACUCCAUCACAUCCUCACAUUUUUUCAUACCACCUCCCUGAUUUUUUUCCUUAGUCUUCAUCACUAUCUCAAGUAUCUUUUCAACUAGAAUGUAAGUUUCAUGAGGGAAGAAAUUUUUUCCAGUUUUGCAGUGUGAUAUUCCUAAUGCCUAGAACAAUGCCUGACAUUUGAAUAGG